AGAGCUAUAGCUCAGUUAGGUAGAGCACCUCGUUUACACUGAGAAAGUCUACAGUUCGAAUCUGUAUAGCCCUA
rnacentral:tRNA from 4 species